rnacentral:rRNA from 1 species
UACGGGGGGGGCAAGCGUUGUUCGGAAUUACUGGGCGUAAAGGGUUUGUAGGUGGCCCGCUAAGUCACACGUGAAAUCCCUCAGCUUAACUGGGGAACUGCGUGUGAGACUGGCAGGCUCGAGGGCAGGAGAGGAACGCGGAAUUCCAGGUGUAGCGGUGAAAUGCGUAGAUAUCAGGAGGAACACCGAUGGCGAAGGCAGGUCUCUGGGCAUUAACUGACGCUGAGGAGCGAAAGCAUGGGGAGCGAACAGG